UGAGUCCUACGGGGGGCAGCAGUGAGGAAUAUUGGUCAAUGGGCGGAAGCCUGAACCAGCCAAGUCGCGUGAGGGAAUAAGGCCCUACGGGUCGUAAACCUCUUUUGCCGGGGAGCAAGGGCGGGGACGUGUCCCGGCCCGGAGAGUACCCGGAGAAAAAGCAUCGGCUAACUCCGUGCCAGCAGCCGCGGUAAUACGGAGGAUGCGAGCGUUAUCCGGAUUUAUUGGGUUUAAAGGGUGCGUAGGCGGGCUGCUAAGUCUGGAGUGAAAGGUACCGGCUCAACCGGUACAG
rnacentral:rRNA from 1 species